rnacentral:lncRNA from 1 species
UUCUUCUUCUCUUCUUCUUCUUCUUCUUCUUCUUAUUAUUAUUAUUAUUAUUAUUAUUAUUAUUAUUAUUGUUUUCUUUUUUCCUCUUAUUCUUCUCUUCCUCUCCUAUUUUUCUUCUUCUUCUUCAUCUUCUUUCUUCUCCUUCCCUUCCUUUUCCUUCUUCUUCUUUCCCUUUUUCUUCUUAUUUUUUUCUUCUCCUUUCUCCUUCUUCUUCU